rnacentral:rRNA from 1 species
UACGGGGGGGGCAAGCGUUGUUCGGAAUUACUGGGCGUAAAGGGCUCGUAGGCGGCCAACUAAGUCAGACGUGAAAUCCCUCGGCUUAACCGGGGAACUGCGUCUGAUACUGGAUGGCUAGAGUUUGGGAGAGGGAUGCGGAAUUCCAGGUGUAGCGGUGAAAUGCGCAGAUAUCAGGAGGAACACCAAUGGCGAAGGCAGCACUCUGGGACGUGACUGACGCUGAGACGCGAAAGCGUGGGGAGCAAACAGG